AGUGCCGGCGCGGGGGUGCGGGGGGUUCAGCAGGUGGCUGAGGGGGGGCAAAGCCAGCGGCCGCCCCGUGGCAGCGGCGAGGCUGGAGGUGCUCAGCAGAGCUCUCUGGAUGGGGGCAAACAGCCAGGGAGGGCUCGGGGGGGGGAGGCGGGUUGUUUAGGAGGUAUAUAAACAGCCCUGUGAGGACUCAGGACGAAUCUGCCUGGCUGUGGGGAGGGGUCAUCGGGUGAUGGAAUACUUGUCUAAAGGACUAUAAAUCGCUGUGGGUUCCUCAAACCAUAACACUAUGGGACCACCACCCAGAGAAAUGCUCCUUCUGACCUAUGCACCCGCCUCUGCAGGGACCUGCAUCUGCAGCUUUCUACUUCCCAAGAGACAUUUUGGCUCCAGGAAUUCUCUCCAGCCCAUCCCUAUCCCCUGGGGCCUCUGGCUCCUCACUAAGUGCUGCCUUCUACCCACGCACUGGGCAAGCUGGGCUUUGGACACGGUCUCUCAUAGCAUCCUCGUGAGUGAGCUGACCAGGUCUGGGUCAGGUGUCGCAGAGGAUCAACCCCCCUGAAACCGAGAGCCCCGAACCCACCAAACCUGGGAGGAAGGUUGGGUUGACUCAGCCGAGUGAGAAAUGCCCCCACCGACCUCCACCGGGUGGAGGAAGCAUCCU